rnacentral:lncRNA from 1 species
GGAUUUCUUCAACAGAAAGUUUCCAUCCGGGCUUCUACAACAUAUGACUUCCGUCUGCAACAUCAACGCCUAAGGCACACAACAACAGUUAACCUAUCAGCAACCUCGAAAACAUCUGAGCUUCUCUUAGAUUGCUGAGACAGAGAACUAUUCUGCUUCACCAGACAUCCCAACCGAGCUUCAACCGUCCGGCCCGAACUCCCCGAUAAGUCACGACAACGGACACCACUCCACUCUCUGUAACAAACUCCAUGUGGCCCCACCACUCUCUGAUAAGUCACGACAACAGACACCACUUCACUCUCCGUAACAAACUCCAUGUGGCCCC